rnacentral:hammerhead_ribozyme from 1 species
GCACUUCUGACGCGUCCUAUACUAGGACGAAACGUGCGUCCAGUGC